UACGUAGGGUGCAAGCGUUAAUCGGAAUUACUGGGCGUAAAGCGUGCGCAGGCGGUUUUGUAAGUCUGUCGUGAAAUCCCCGGGCUCAACCUGGGAAUUGCGAUGGAGACUGCAAGGCUAGAAUCUGGCAGAGGGGGGUAGAAUUCCACGUGUAGCAGUGAAAUGCGUAGAGAUGUGGAGGAACACCGAUGGCGAAGGCAGCCCCCUGGGUCAAGAUUGACGCUCCAUGCACGAAAGGCGUGGGGAGCAAACGAGGAUAGAAACCGUUGUAGAUCCAUGACCCAAGUUC
rnacentral:rRNA from 1 species